GAUCCAAUAGCUCAGUCGGUAGAGCACCUGACUUUUAAUCAGGGUGUCCCUAGUUCGAGUCUAGGUUGGAUCA
rnacentral:tRNA from 1 species